AGGGUAGGUGCUAUAGAUCACACUAGAUUCUGUGUUGCAAGCAGCAGAAGUCUGGGACCCUAGUAUAUGACAUAGUGCUGCUGACAUCCAAAAUGCAUCUUUCCUUCUUGAUUAAACAUCUCUGGAAAUGGCCGCAAAACACCAAAUGGAAGUGUGUUUCUCCUAUGCAACUUUAAAUCCAGCCAGGGCCACAACUGUCAGUAAAAGGAAUCUUUCCUGUUUGUCUACCAGAGCUGUGAUCUCAAGGGGACAAAGCUGGCAAGGACAAGGCCGAUGGCUGCUAUGUGUCACACAUUGCGGAUAGCAUCACUCCCUGACAGAGAGAACUUCAUGAUGUGUUGCUUCUUGCUUCCCUUUGUUUGGCUGCUAAAAUGUAAUACCAAGAACUCACUGUUGUUGUCCUUGGUGUUCUUCCUAUAUUUCAGGGCUUAAUGAUGCCACAACAUUGAUCCUGUGAAUCUGUGUGUGAGGACGGUUUUUCCAUCGUCUAGUGUCUAUUUCAACAUUUCUCAUUGGAGAAAUCUUUCACAUCCUUGGUUUUGUUUAUUCCUAGAUAUAUUGUUGCUUCCAUUUUUGUUUUGAGAUUACAAUAUAACUAGAUUAUUUCUCUUGUUCCUCUUUUUAUAACUCCCACAUAGCCCUUCUUGUUCUCUUUCAAUUUUAUGGCCUAUUUUUCAUUAAUUAUUGUUAAAUGCAUAUAAUAUGCAUAUAUAUAUG